UACAGAGGGGGCAAGCGUUGUUCGGAAUUACUGGGCGUAAAGGGCGCGUAGGCGGCCCGCUAAGUCGAACGUGAAAUCCCCAGGCUCAACCUGGGAACUGCGUCCGAUACUGGAUGGCUUGAAUUCGGGAGAGGGAUGCAGAAUUCCAGGUGUAGCGGUGAAAUGCGUAGAUAUCUGGAGGAAUACCGGUGGCGAAGGCGGCAUCCUGGACCGAGAUUGACGCUGAACAGCGAAAGCUAGGGGAGCAAACGGG
rnacentral:rRNA from 1 species